UUGCCGACGCGGCUUUUUACUCCCGCCGCCACAGGUUUUUACCCCUGCGGCUUUUUCACCCUGCCGUCGCGUGUUUUUGCCCCCACCGCCGUGACUUUUUACCCCCACCGCCGCGGGUCUGAGGGCGGGAUCAGCAGACUCAGCUGCCAGAUCUACCUGCGUCCUGGCUAAGGCAGCGCCGAGGGUCACUCCUGGUCCAGCUCUCCCGGUUCGGGGGUUCCUUGCCUAGACACCCGCGCCCCAGGCUCUGUUCCUGGGCAGCUGCAGCCAGCAUAGAGCUGCGCUGCGCUCGGCCCCGAUGGGAGAGAAGAAGGAGAGCGGUGGAGGGGGUGACGCGGCUAUCGCGGAGGGAGGCGCAGGGGCCGCAGCCAGCCGGGUGCUGCAGCAGUGCGGGCAGCUUCAGAAGCUCAUCGGCAUCUCUCUUGGCAGCCUGCGCGGGCUGCCCACCAAGUGCACUGUGUCCAAGGACCUCACCCAGCAGGAGAUACGGACCGUGCAGACAGGGUCUUGUUCUGUCACCACGGUUAGAAUGCAGUGGUACUAUCUUGGCUCACUGCAGCCUCGACCUCCUGGAUUCAAGCAGACUUCCCACUUCAGCCUCCAGAGUAGCUAGGACUACAGGCUUGGCCAGCUGGUUUCAGCUCAGGCUCAGGACAGAGCCAGUCCGUGUGCCAGAAAAUCAAGAAACACUCAGAGCCUGAG
rnacentral:lncRNA from 1 species